GACGAACGCUGGCGGCGUGCUUAACACAUGCAAGUCGAACGAAGCUUGAUUACGGAUUCUUCGGAUGAAGUAUGAUAUGACUGAGUGGCGGACGGGUGAGUAACGCGUGAGUAACCUGCCCUUCAGAGGGGGAUAGCGUUUGGAAACGAACGGUAAUACCGCAUAAUGUAUUUUGACCGCAUGAUCGAAAUACCAAAGAUUUAUCGCUGAAGGAUGGACUCGCGUCUGAUUAGGUAGUUGGUGGGGUAACGGUCUACCAAGCCGACGAUCAGUAGCCGGACUGAGAGGUUGAUCGGCCACAUUGGGACUGAGACACGGCCCAGACUCCUACGGGAGGCAGCAGUGGGGAAUAUUGCACAAUGGGCGCAAGCCUGAUGCAGCAACGCCGCGUGAAGGAAGACGGUUUUCGGAUUGUAAACUUCUGUUCUUAGUGAAGAAUAAUGACGGUAGCUAAGGAGCAAGCCACGGCUAACUACGUG
rnacentral:rRNA from 1 species